CCCGUUGGCACUCUGCCUGUAAAGUCAAAUUGCUAAUGAGAAAGUCCACCACAUGUGUGUUUUCACCUCUCGCUCCCACAUUGUCUUUGCUCUGAUUUUUUUGGCUGGAGUGCUGCGCCGUAGGAUGUGAUGUCAGCACAGACGCGGGCAGCACCUGUGGAUCUACGCACAAAGGCGGGCAGCGAGCCGAUGGGUUCACGACCCCCAGCGUCCCUCAUGUGGAUGCAUCUGGAUGCUGCUGCCUCUCAGGAGCCUCCAUCUUACCUUUCACGCUUCGGCCAAGUCGACAUCGUAACCGUUGCACUCGGCAAUCUUCCAUCUGCACAGAGAUGCUUUCAAGAGGUUCCGUAGCCACUCGGGCAACACUUCACGAUAAAUAUCUCUCUCUCAGAAGAGAAAGGACGGGAGCCAUGUGGUUGAGUGCCUCGACAGCUACUUCCAGAAAAG
ensembl:lncRNA